rnacentral:rRNA from 1 species
AUUGAACGCUGGCGGCAUGCUUUACACAUGCAAGUCGAACGGUAACAGCACUUCGGUGGCUGACGAGUGGCGAACGGGUGAGUAAUACAUCGGAACGUGCCUAGUAGUGGGGGGUAACUACUCGCAAGAGUAGCUAAUACCGCAUGAGAUCUAAGGAUGAAAGCAGGGGACCUUCGGGCCUUGCGCUACUAGAGCGGCUGAUGGCAGAUUAGGUAGUUGGUGGGGUAAAAGCUUACCAAGCCGACGAUCUGUAGCUGGUCUGAGAGGACGACCCGCCACACUGGGACUGAGACACGGCCCAGACUCCUACGGGAGGCAGCAGUGGGGAAUUUUGGACAAUGGGCGAAAGCCUGAUCCAGCAAUGCCGCGUGCAGGAUGAAGGCCUUCGGGUUGUAAACUGCUUUUGUACGGAACGAAAAGCCCUCUUCUAAUACAGGAGGGUCAUGACGGUACCGGAAGAAUAAGCACCGGCUAACUACGUG